GGAACUCCACGGUGGACUGCAACGGCGUGGUGUCUCUGAUCAGUCCGGGGACCGGGGGACGCCUUCUGCCUGAGCCCACUACUGAGGUUGAGGUGAAGAAGAAGCUGUCUGGUUCCCUGAUGGUGUCUAUGGACCAGCUCAAUACCUCCUUCGGAGGGAAAGAGCGGGCCAACAGUGUCAUGAGCGUCAUCACCAACACACUAGCAGAGGAACUGGAGGAGUCUCAGCGUAGUUGUCCACCGUGGUGGUAUAAGUUCUCCAACAUGGUCCUCAUCUGGGAGUGUUGUCCCA